UACGUAGGGGGCGAGCGUUGUCCGGAUUUAUUGGGCGUAAAGAGCGUGUAGGCGGUCCGGUAAGUCAGCUGUGAAAGUCAAGGGCUCAACCCUUGAAAGCCGGUUGAUACUGUCGGGCUAGAGUCCGGAAGAGGCGAGUGGAAUUCCCGGUGUAGCGGUGAAAUGCGCAGAUAUCGGGAAGGAACACCAAUGGCGAAGGCAGCUCGCUGGGACGGUACUGACGCUGAGACGCGAAAGCUAGGGGAGCAAACGGG
rnacentral:rRNA from 1 species